rnacentral:rRNA from 1 species
CCAUGCAGUCGAGCGAUCUCUUCGGAGAGAGCGGCGGACGGGUGAGUAACGCGUGGGUAACCUGCCCUGUACACACGGAUAACAUACCGAAAGGUAUACUAAUACGGGAUAACAUAUGAAAGUCGCAUGGCUUUUGUAUCAAAGCUCCGGCGGUACAGGAUGGACCCGCGUCUGAUUAGCUAGUUGGUAAGGUAAUGGCUUACCAAGGCAACGAUCAGUAGCCGACCUGAGAGGGUGAUCGGCCACACUGGAACUGAGACACGGUCCAGACUCCUACGGGAGGCAGCAG